UGAGCAUCAGUGAUGAGUAGUUUCCUUUUGUUUGUUAUCUUGGACUUUGAUUGCUAGUGAAGAAGUUAAUGAGGACUAUUGACUCAGAUGGUU